GAGUUCCUCCAAAAAGAACCGCACCCCAAGAGCUGAUUCUCUAAAGGCCCUUGUCUUUGGGGUUUCAUGAUGCAUGUUGCAUGGAAAUGUGGCUUGCUGUGGCACUGAGGACGUUCGUUCUGCUUGCAGACUGUGUCAAGGUUGAGCCGCUGAACUACUGGCAGCUAGCGCGAGCCACCGCCUUCCCGCUGCACGUGGUGCAGCUCUGUGUGCAAGAGACCAUCCUCUUGUACUGCCUCUUCCUGAAGGACAAGGUGCACGUCUCGUUCGCCUUCAAGGACUUGGGCGUUCUGACGUGCGAAGAUGACUUCCUCUGCAUGACGUUCUACUACAACUGCACUGCUAUGCCGGAAAGCAAUGCAAGACCGAUUGCAGCGCUCCACAGCUGCUUGCCCCCACGGCUUUCUCCACUGGCCAACGAGAUUUCCUGGAUCCCUGCUCCUGCAGAAAGCCUGGCACUGUUCUUGCACGGCCUCGCUAUUUUGACAAGAUCAGCAGAGUUCCAGGGGCCCUGCCAUCAGGCUGCUGCAGAGGCAGAAGACGCUUCCCCUCUCCGUGCUGCUGAGCUGCGAGCCAGGCAGGAGGCAGCAGGAUGCGUCCAAGAAGCCUUCUGCCAGGUGAGAGCCUUGGGCAAAAUGAGGAAGGAGAUGCGUGAGCUCAUGUCGGAGUCACCUCCCCUUUGGACCUGCCAGCUGUCGGGACUCAGAAAGCCUCCUGACACACAUGCGUCCCAGUGGGGGCCGUUCUCUCAAGGGAUGGCAAGCGCACAGCAUGAUUGCCCAAGGCAGACACGCCAGCUUCAUUUUCCACCCCGGUCCCCCAUCUCUUGGGGUGCUGAAUCCCGAUCCCUAUGGGUCACAGAAGCUCUUCUCCCUUCAGGGGUCUCUCCACAUUGCAACGGAGCCCAUCUUUAUGGUUGUGGGAGCACGAGGGGAGACCAAGGUGCCCCAUGCUCCUGCACACUCCUCUUGGUGUCUGUUUGCAGCGUGCUCCCACCGGGUGCAGGCAGACCCCCCGGGACAAAGAUAGUGGGACAAAAGGAACCAGCUCCUCCAGCCCAGCCCAGCCCAGCGCAGCACUCCCUGCGACGGAAGACUCUAAGAGAGCGCUGCAGGUGCCGGCUCUGCCUUGCUGCAGGGACUGUGCUGCUUGAGAUGGCACAAAUCAUAGAACCAUCGAAUGAUAGAAAGCUUUGGCUUGGAAGGGACCAUUCAGAUCAUCUAGUUCCAAGCCCGCUGCUCUGGGCAGGGACACCUCUCUCUAGACCAGGUUGCUCCAAGCCCAAUCCAGCCUGGUCUUGCGUGCUUCCAUAGGGAGGGGAGCAAAAGCCUCUGAGUGUGCAGCCAUCUGGAGCAGAGCCCUUGGGGUGCCAUCGUUCCACAUCUCUGUCCGCUCCUUCAGCUCCUCUGCAGGAGAUGGAGGGUGCUGCACACCUUCCCUGUCUCUUCUCGCCUCCCGGCCUGCCACCUGGCACAGCACACUGAUUUUGACCAGGGGCUGUGAGAGAGGAACACGGCCAUUCUGCAUCCCUGACAGCAGAGGCCUUGGGUCUCCACAGGUCUCCAGGCUGUUUUUGCCACAAGUUCGGGGCCGCUGGACCUUCAGGGCCAAAGCAGUGCCGGCAGGCCGGCAGAGGCGAGGGGCAGGAGCGCGGAGCUGAAGGAAGGC
rnacentral:lncRNA from 1 species